ensembl:snRNA U1 U1 spliceosomal RNA
CAUCUUACCUGGCAGGGGAGAUACCAUGAUUACCAAGGUGGUUCUCCCAGGGCGAGGCUCAUCUAUUGGACUCCAGAUGUGCUGACCCCUGCGAUUUCACCAAAUGCAGGAAACUCAACUGCAUAAUUUGUGGUAGUGGGAGCCUGUGUUUGCACUCUCCCCUG